rnacentral:rRNA from 1 species
GAUGAACGCUGGCGGCGUGCCUAAUACAUGCAAGUCGAGCGAACAGACGAGGAGCUUGCUCCUCUGACGUUAGCGGCGGACGGGUGAGUAACACGUGGAUAACCUACCUAUAAGACUGGAAUAACUUCGGGAAACCGGAGCUAAUACCGGAUAAUAUAUUGAACCGCAUGGUUCAAUAGUGAAAGACGGUUUUGCUGUCACUUAUAGAUGGAUCCGCGCCGCAUUAGCUAGUUGGUAAGGUAACGGCUUACCAAGGCAACGAUGCGUAGCCGACCUGAGAGGGUGAUCGGCCACACUGGAAAUGAGACACGGUCCAGACUCCUACGGGAGGCAGCAGUAGGGAAUCUUCCGCAAUGGGCGAAAGCCUGACGGAGCAACGCCGCGUGAGUGAUGAAGGUCUUCGGAUCGUAAAACUCUGUUAUUAGGGAAGAACAAAUGUGUAAGUAACUAUGCACGUCUUGACGGUACCUAAUCAGAAAGCCACGGCUAACUACGUG